AUGGUACUCCCUUCAUCCAACAAAAGAUGUCUCAAGUUUGUCAAAAUUUGAAUGUAUCUAGACAUGACUUAGUGUAUAGAUGCAUUCAAAUUUAGUCAAAAUUGAGACAUCCUUUGUUGGACGGAGGAAGUAAGAA
rfam:Brachypodium distachyon strain Bd21 chromosome 3, whole genome shotgun sequence.